CUGUAGUGAGAUGUGCAGGUAAAGAAAGCACAGCAGCACACUGAUGGAGUCUGAUCAGUUUUUAUUCCCUUGUAAAUAGAAUAUCAAUAAAAACACACCUUAAAUAUAACAUAAGGUUUAUCCAACAGAUGAAAAAGUAACAAAAGGCCUAUGUAGAGUUUCUACAUAGCGAUUACAGAACAGUCUACUGUCCAAAAAAGGCACUAAAUCCUGAAAUAGAAAAGAAGCAAAUAAACAAAGAAAAAUCAAUUUAAACUGAUACAACAAAGAUCCUGCUGAGGUUUGAUAUUUUUCAUUUUACAGAGAUUUAUUGAAGAGCUUAUUGCCACAGUGAAAUGGCAACCACUGCUUGUUUUCCUCCUGGCUGAUUACAUGAGAACAUCAACACCGGAGCGUCUCCAUUUCACGUUGACCACAUGGAUGAUAGAUGUGUUUUUCACCUUAAUUUAAAAAAAAAAAAAACCCCAAAAGACAGAUUUUUUUUUUUUUAACUCUUUAAACGUGAAACUGCAUAUCACAACACUGAGCAAUGAAGGAGGAAUGAAAGCACCUCACAUGAGAGGCAUCAGUCUCAACCUUAACAUGCACCCUGAUUUUGUUAAAGGAAGCAUCGCACAUCCAAACUUUCCUGUUGAAUAAAGUAUUUGCUGUACUAUGUGGACCACCGGCCAAAGUGACGGCGGGAUAUGGCACAGGUAAAGACGAGUCAAGGUGUAGUCAGUGCCAAACAUAUGCACAGGUAGAUGUUCCAAAAAACAAACAAACAAAGAAAAACAGUUCAACAAGGCAACAGAGGACUGAAGGCAGAUGGAAACACGCAGCACGAGCAAAGGCUUUUCUGUUUCUGUCCUACUGCUUUUUAUUUUAUGAGAACUUUAACUGUAUUAGGCAGUUUCUGGCACAAAAAGAGUCCAUUUAGAUCAAAACAGACAAACAAAAGCACAGUAAACACCAGAAAAGACUGAGGUUUCUGUUAUUAGAAGCAAAUAUGGGUUCUUUAUGUAAGAAGGUUUAGCUUAUUUCUUAACGUUUAAAUCAGUGUUUACUCUCACUUUUGUAAGGUCUCCUGGUGGUGCUUAACAGAUUAUUGACACAGAUCCACCUCAGAUUUAUCUAUCCAAUCGUUUUAAUAGACCGCGAUGGGUAAUCAAACUAAGACUGUGACCUUGCCUUUAUUUUUCAUUUGCAGUUUUCUUUCCCUUUUUCUUAUGUACAAAAUAGCUAAAAUGACACAAACUCACACUAACUGGCUGCUUCAGACCUCCAAAAUGCAAUGUCAUGAGAAGACCAUGAAGGCAAAAAAGAAUAAUCUCAAAAUAGCACAAUGGCCUAAAUGAAUCCAUAGAUUCAUUUCAGAAAGGCUUCUGCUUAGCAGAUUAAAAAGAAAAAAACUAAAUAAAAAACGAUCUGUAACCCUUUGAUGGGUUUGUAAAUUUUGGUGUAAAUCAUUAAAUGACAGAAAGCUACAUAACUGACUAAUAAUGUCUCAAAUGCUUAAAGCAAAGACACCCAGGACAGCUCUGCUGCCGCACAAUUAAAGAAAUCCUCCACCAUGCAACAAAGUUUCUCAGACAUUUAGCCCGAAACACUGAAAUCCACCAGAAUGACAGAGAGACUAUUUCGUAUUUUAUGGACCCUGGUGGACGUUGGAGCUCAUAAAUGAGUAAAUUCCCUUUAAACGUGAUAUUUACUGGCUCUAGUUUGAGGAGAAAUUUCCCUUUUGAAAAGCCGCUGACACUUCUGUUGUCAGCCAGCGUGAAUCAUCUUUACGGCCUUGUCACAGUUUGAUCCAGACGGGACUGACACAAAUCAGCUCGACAGUUAGUUUGAAGCUUUGAUUCACAUUGAAGCAGCUGUGAACAAACCUGCGGGGAGUAGCUUAUAGCUGAAUGGGAGGGAGCGAGGUAUAUAUGUUGAGUUUUUAAACUCUGAACUAGUAGCUUAGCCUGUAAAGCACCUGGUGACGAUGAACCGGUUUGAAUGAAGCCGCUUUAGUGUAACAGAACAUCAUGUUAUUAACUCGCCUGCAUUAGUACGGUUAAAAAUGUACAGCCAUUGUAGAAGUCUUCUUCAUGCACUGAUCCUCUGUUAGUGCGCUGAGAAAAAUGAGGCACUUAAGCAUGAAGCUGAGGUGUGCUGCACCUUCAUAAGCAUUUAGGUUUCUAUCAAGUGUUACACUGCACUGUAGUAUUAUUAAUGUUUUAGCCUUUGAGAAGGUUUUAGUGUCAGCUGUAAAAGGUAAGCAAAUGUAAGAGCUGGACUGAUAGUGUUGAAUGAUAGUGUCAGCAGUGAUCCCCCACUGAGCUGCACUCACUUUUUUUUAUUUUGUUUUAAAGGUUAGUAAGUGUCUGUCUGUGUGCGUGUUGCUCAUACUGGAGACUGCAGUCAUCCUUACUUUUUUUUAGCGUGUUUUAACCCAUUGUUUUGCUUUUCUCGCCUACAAACUUGAGCUCAUUUUCAGCCAAAGCCAGAGUCAAAAUUUUGUCAAAAUCUUCAGUUAAAAUCCUAGAUCCUUCAGACAUACUUGUGACCGUAUAUCUUUCAAUUAUCUUAAUGUUCAUCAGCG
ensembl:lncRNA